ensembl:lncRNA
GAGAGAUCUCUCUCCGUUCUCUCUCCCCCUUCCAGCCACAGGAGUUUCUGAAAGUGCUGUGUUGCUCCUGCUCUCAGCUCCCCAGCAUUGUCCUACAGCUAAGACCCCCCUUUGCAAUAGAGAUGUGACAGUUCGAGAGAGAAAGAGACAUUUUAACAGAGAAACUGGGCCCAGCUCAGCAAGUUUCAUCAUGCUGCUCUGUGGAAGUACAUCAGCCUUGGGCAGAGCCCACUGUUGCAGGAGCCCUGAACCCUGCACCCAAAGGGGGGCUUAAGAUCUGUGUGAAAACCAGGAAGAAGUGCCUCCAGUUACUUUAAAUUAUGACAUGGUUUUGGACACGCGUAUCAGUGGGACAACGCAGGAGAGCAGCUCAGAGAUUUGGUGCACAAACUUGGCAUGAAAAUUUCUCAUCUGUUUUCUUUCUGAGCCUGUCCCAAGAAAGGAUUCCUAGUGGGCUAUUUCCUGUUCACAUUGCUAUCUUUCUCAUGAGAAUCCACUCUUAAACACCAUGCCUCCUUGUAGGCUCUGACAGAUGGUGGCAUCCUUCUGGACUCUGACUGAGCAAAGCAAGAAAGAAACAAUGCAAUUAGACAGUACUGGUGGUGCUGGAGUGUGAAGAGUAACCCACAGCCAACACUCAUGUUAUGAGAACUGCAGCAAGGGUAGAGACUGCUUAAGUAACUGCCUGUGGCACUCCAGAUAAAAAUAAUGCAGAAACACUUCUAUUCCAUUUUGGUUAAUGCAUGUUAUGUUGUAUCGAUGGGGUCCUGAUUCUGUGAAGAGAAUUCUUGAGAAGCGUUAAGCACAUCUGAUGCUUAUCAAGAAGCUUUAGGAAUAAUCAAGAGAUAUUUGAUACUUUGUACAAAUUGCCCUUGGAAUAGCUGUUCUGCCAGUGGUGCUAUUAAUCUAAAAUCCUAAUCUUAUUCAUUUCAGAUGAAGAACACUCUGUGAGAGUGUCUGAGAAAGCUAAGCAGAUAUCUUGCUAAGCAGAUAUUGUAAGGAUGUUCCUGUUAAGCUGUGUAGUGGCACAUUGCACCUACGUACUGGUACUGUGCAUAUAGUGUGGAGAAAUAGGACAUAUUGGGAAUUUGAGUUAUAUUGAAUCCUGCUGUUAAUAAACCACACAUUGUGGGCUUGGAAACCUCUGCC